rnacentral:rRNA from 1 species
GGCUCAGAUUGAACGCUGGCGGCAGGCCUAACACAUGCAAGUCGAGCGGUAGAGAGGUGCUUGCAUCUCUUGAGAGCGGCGGACGGGUGAGUAAUGCCUAGGAAUCUGCCUAGUGGUGGGGGAUAACGUUCGGAAACGGACGCUAAUACCCGCAUACGUCCUACGGGGAGAAAGCGGGGGAUCUUCGGACCUCGCGCCAUUAGAUGAGCCUAGGUCGGAUUAGCUAGUUGGUGAGGUAAUGGCUCACCAAGGCGACGAUCCGUAACUGGUCUGAGAGGAUGAUCAGUCACACUGGAACUGAGACACGGUCCAGACUCCUACGGGAGGCAGCAGUGGGGAAUAUUGGACAAUGGGCGAAAGCCUGAUCCAGCCAUGCCGCGUGUGUGAAGAAGGUCUUCGGAUUGUAAAGCACUUUAAGUUGGGAGGAAGGGUAGUAACCUAAUACGUUGCUACUUUGACGUUACCGACAGAAUAAGCACCGGCUAACUUCGUG